rnacentral:rRNA from 1 species
AUUGAACGCUGGCGGCAGGCCUAAAAAAUGCAAGUCGAGCGAGCGGCGGACGGGUGAGUAAUGUAUGGGGAUCUGCCUGAUGGCGAGGGAUAACUACUGGAAAGGGUAGAUAAUACCGCAUACAAUCAGAUAAAACCAGAUGGGAUUAGCUAGUAGGUAAGGUAACGGCUUACCUAAGCGACGAUCCCUAGCUGGUCUGAGAGGAUGAUCAGCCACACUGGGACUGAGACACGGUCCAGACUCCUACGGUAGGCAGCAGUGGGGAAGAUUGCACAAUGGGCGCAAGCCUUAUUCAGCCUUGCCGCGUGUAUGAAGAAGGCCUUCGGGUUGUAAAGUACUUUCAGUCAGGAGGCGUUACUGACAGAAGAAGCACCGGCUAACUCCGUGCCAGCAGCCGCGGUAAUAC